rnacentral:rRNA from 1 species
UGUAAGCGUAUACCAAAGUUGUUGCAGUUAAAACGCUCGUAGUCGGAAUUUGGCAGUUCCGGAUGUGUGCACGUCGUGUGCGCACUUCGCGGGGAUUGCUUUUGUGGUCUUGCGUAGGAUGAGGCACUUUUAUUAGUGAACGUCCUCACGCAACCACUUUUUACUGUGAGAAAAUCAGAGUGCUCAAAGCAGGCAUUUGCCGUGAAUGUAUUAGCAUGGAAUAAUAGAAUAGGACUUGGUUCUAUUUUGUUGGUUUGUUGGGACUGAGUAAUGAUUAAGAGGGACAGUUGGGGGCAUUUGUAUUUCGGUGCUAGAGGUGAAAUUCUUAGAUUACCGAAAGACAAACCGCUGCGAAAGCGUCUGCCAAGGAUGUUCUCAUUGA